rnacentral:rRNA from 1 species
AGGCCUGGGGGGCAACUCCCAGAGUCGAGCGGCGGACGGGUGAGUAACACGUGGGUAACCUGCCCGGAAGUGGGGAAUACCUCGGGGAAACUCGAGCUAAUACCGCAUGACAUCUUCGGGACGAAAGUCCUGACGAUCAAAGCGGGGUCGCAAGAUCUCGCGCUACCGGAUGGGCCCGCGCCCGAUUAGCUAGUUGGUGAGGUAACGGCUCACCAAGGCUUCGAUCGGUAACCGGCCUGAGAGGGCGAUCGGUCACACCGGAACUGAGACACGGUCCGGACUCCUACGGGAGGCAGCAGUGGGGAAUCUUGCGCAAUGGGCGAAAGCCUGACGCAGCAACGCCGCGUGGAGGAUGAAGGCCCUUGGGUUGUAAACUCCUGUCGGCUGGGAAGAAAUCGUACGGUGCUCAUACCAUCGUGCGUUGACUGUACCAGCAAAGGAAGCCCCGGCUAACUCUGUGCCAGCAGCCGCGGUAAUACAGAGGGGGCCAGCGUUAUUCGGAAUUAUUGGGCGUAAAGGGCGCGUAGGCGGCCAUGCGUGUCUUCCGUGAAAUCCCUCGGCUUAACUGAGGACGUGCGGAAGAAACUGCAAGGCUCGAGUCCGGGAGAGGGGGGUGGAAUUCCCAGUGUAGCGGUGAAAUGCGUAGAUAUUGGGAGGAACACCGGUGGCGAAGGCGGCCCCCUGGACCGGUACUGACGCUGAGGCGCGAAAGCGUGGGUAGCAAACGGGAUUAGAUACCCCGGUAGUCCACGCCGUAAACGAUGGGCACUUGGUGUCGCGGGUAUCGACCCCUGCGGUG